rnacentral:lncRNA from 1 species
AUUUAUUUGCCAGGUGUUCAGCUCUUAAAGCUGGCUCUAAGGCUCGGUGCAGGGCUCUUUUGCUUUUGUCUCUGAAAAUUCUCAUGCAUUCACACAGAGAUCAUCAACAAAAAUAGGGCAAUCUGAUGACUGCCUUCUGUGGUUCCACAGGGAAGGUGUUCAUCUUGGAUUCCAAGAAACAAAUAGUGUUUUUUUAAAUAUCCACAGAUUACCAAAAUACAAUCACAGUCAACUAAGGUGUAUGAUCAGGAUCAUGUCUGCACAGCAGGUUGAUUUAUUAGGUAAUCAUAGAAUCACAGAAUCAUAGAAUGGCCUGGGUUGAAAAGGACUACAAUGAUCAUCGAGUUUCAACCUCCCUGCUAUGUGCAGGGUUGCCAACCACCAGACCAGGCUGCCCAGAGCCACAUCCAGCCUGGCCUUGAAUGCAUCCAGAGAUGGGGCAUCCACAACCUCCUUGAGCAACCUGUUCCAGGGCAGUUCCAGGUUUCUACAGAGCUACUUGGGAAACUUCGCAUAGUGUUGCAGUACAACAGACAGAUAAAUCCUGAGCACAGAGGACCAGCACUACCCCUGCCUAUUGCAGCACUGUGAAGUCAAGUGCCAUGUAGAAGGAAGUGUCAGGUGACAGAACACCUCAAAAGACUGAGACAAGAAAAGCUGCCAAAGGGUAGCCACCACCUCCUUCAAAACUACGCUCCCAGAUGUAUAAUAUUCCAUGAUGGUAAAAAGAACCUCAUUUAUUAAACACAGAAACAGAAAUGCACUAUAUUUGGGUCCUUGGUAGUAAGAUUAUGAAAACUGACAGAAUGUGGACUUUGAUGUAACUCAGAAUGGUUAAUAUCAAAAUUUCCAGUGGGGUUUUAAAUUUGUUGUUUGAGACUAUCUGUAUUUCUGGCAAGGAGUUUGCUUCAGUGCUUUUCUUUAGUGGUAUUAAAGGAGUUCUCCUAUAUUAAAAGUUUUAUAUUUUGAUGGAUGUUAAAAUUAAAGGAAAACUUUAUUAAAUCACUGCACAAUAUAGUAAAUGUAAUGAAGCACAUUUCAAAUUAAAUGGAUUGGAAGGAAAAUCUGUGUAACCGUUGUCAAGCAGGGUUCUCUUCAGAAGUAAAAUUGCAGCUUUAAUAU